rnacentral:lncRNA from 1 species
UGCAAGCAACCGCGGAAGGGCAUGGCUAGUUUCUACAGAGAUAGUAGAGAGGAACAAGAAGAAAUAAGAGAGAAGAGGAGGAGGAGAUACCUGCGGAGGCGAGGCGGAGAGAGUUUCGCCGAACCGGCUUCUUGAUGAGAUCGGCGGCAAUAGUGAGAGGGGUCGAGGGUUUUAUUUGAGGGGUUUGACUUUAGCUGGGGGUAAAAUAAAUUUUUUUUAUAAGGUAAUAGUGAAAAUGUGCCCAUAAAUCCCGUAAUCACUAAAUUUCUCAAAUAUACCCAAAAAUCUAAAAUAGUAAAUGUCAAAUGAUAAACCCUAAAAUCUAUAUUCCUAAAUCGAUCAUCUUAUUCAUCUACGUCACUACUACACCGACGGCUCCCCCAGUACCAGUCCUCCACCUCGGUCCUCGGCACCUCCACGCCUCCUUCUGCACCAGGCGAAAAGAAGCAGGCAAUUCCGCCAGAAACCAGUUCGAUGGGCAGAAAGGGCAGGUCAAAUGAUUUCCUCUUUCUCUGAUUUAUUCUCUGUUUUUUCAAUUGAUUUGGGAAUUGGGCUUAUUUAAUUGACUUAUACUGUUAUACAUUAUAUUUCUUUUUGAUACCUCCGGACUAUAUAUAAUAGUCACAUAAUAUAUGAUCGAAAAAAUCUAAGUGGAAAUGUACACAUUGAGAUUUGAACCUUGGACUUCAGAAACCUCAAUAGUUACUGAGCAGUGAGCCAAUCUUAUUGUGUUAUAGAUUACAUUUAUGAAAUUAUGAACUAGUUGUAUACUUGUAUUAUACAGUAAUCUUGUAUAUGAAAUUAUGGGCUUAUUUUUCUCUCUCUACAACUUGUAUAUGAAUGAAUUGGGUUGGUUAUUCAAUUGACUUAUACUGAGGAGUUGAGUUUACGCAUACAAAAGAACAAAAGAUCAAAUGGAUCUGCUUAGAAUGAAAUGUUGAUCAAAGAAUAAUAUUUUUGCCUAAAGAAUACCUUAGGGUAUCUUAGGUCUUUCUAGCAGUUCUAAAAUAAAAGCAAUUAAAGCACACAAAAAAGUUAGGGUAUCUUUAAUUAUAGGUUAUGUUCAAUACCUCUAUAAGCUUUAAAGCUAUCUCUUUUACGGAUCAGUAUUUUCAAAGUAGACUCACACGUAAUUAAGAGUACACAUACUAUUAUAUAGAACUUUCAAAUCUUUUCGAGUAGAUUUGAUAACCUAAAAUCUUUACAGGUAGAUUCAAGUAUUCAACCUAAAAGUUUUACCAUACUCAUUCUUUAAAACCAAAUAAAUUUUUGAGGUUAAACUUUAAAACCUUUUGAAAUCUCAGAUAACCAUCCUCUCUGACAGAUUUUGAUCAGAUUUGAAAAAGAAAGAAAACAGUUGAUAUAUGACUAUAUGAGAGAUUUGUCUUUUUCCAACUCUAAAAGAGUUCUCACAACACUUUCACUCUGACAGAAUUUGAUGUUGACAGAAUAAGUGUACAUAGUGAGUCGAUGAAGAAGCAGAGGGAGAGAAAAAGAUGAUUGCUGAUUAUCUCUUCUUGGAAACUGGAAAUCUUUGGAAGCUAGAACUCGAAAUAUCUCUUGGUGGAUCUUGAAAGUGAGUGAGUGAUUGCUCAAAAUGAUUGUAAGGUGGAUGAGAGAAAUGAACAACCAUGAGGGUCCUUUUAUAGCCUUCAUCUCUUUAAAUGGAUCUUUGAAUCUUCAUCCCUUGGAUCUUGAAUCAAUGGUUGAGAUCUUUGCUAGAUGAUGAAGAUAACUUGAGGUGAAGCUUACUCAUUAAGUUAUCUGAUGCUGACCUGUAUUAAGUUGUCAGAAAUUACCUGAUAUGAUCUGGUAGUUUGUACAUUGAUCUGAUACUGAUUUUUACUAUAUGUUGAUUGUGGGUGAUUUUAAGCUCUCACCAAGCUCAAAAUAGUUAACCACAUAUAUAAUCAGAUUUAGGGUUUGAAUGAAUUAAAUUUGAG